rnacentral:rRNA from 1 species
GCGAACUUGGGGCCAGGAGGCGGGGUACUACUGAGGGGGCUAGCGGUGAUCGGAAUCACUGUGCGUAAAGCACGCGUAUGCGGAUGGUUAAGUCAGGGGGUAAAUCCUGAGGCUCAACCUCAGAAUUGCCCUUGAUACUGGCGGUCUUGAGACCGGAAGAGGUAUGUGGAAUUGCGAGUGUAGAGGUGAAAUUCGUAGAUAUUCGCAAGAACACCAGUGGCGAAGGCGACUUACUGGUCCGGUUCUGACGCUGAGGCGUGAAAGCGUGGGGAGCAAACAGGAUUAGAUACCCUAGUAGUC